AUUGAACGCUGGCGGCAUGCCUAACACAUGCAAGUCGAGCGGAUGAAGGGAGCUUGCUCCUGGAUUCAGCGGCGGACGGGUGAGUAAUGCCUAGGAAUCUGCCUGGUAGUGGGGGAUAACGUCCGGAAACGGGCGCUAAUACCGCAUACGUCCUGAGGUAGAAAGUGGGGGAUCUUCGGACCUCACGCUAUCAGAUGAGCCUAGGUCGGAUUAGCUAGUUGGUGGGGUAAAGGCCUACCAAGGCGACGAUCCGUAACUGGUCUGAGAGGAUGAUCAGUCACACUGGAACUGAGACACGGUCCAGACUCCUACGGGAGGCAGCAGUGGGGAAUAUUGGACAAAGGGCGAAAGCCUGAUCCAGCCAUGCCGCGUGUGUGAAGAAGGUCUUCGGAUUGUAAAGCACUUUAAGUUGGGAGGAAGAGCAGUAAGUUAAUACCUUGCUGUCUUGACGUUACCAACAGAAUAAGCACCGGCUAACUUCGUG
rnacentral:rRNA from 1 species